UGCAAUCGCGGUGAGAUGGCGGGUGUAAGAAGGAGGAGGCAAGCGUGAUCCGGAGUUAUGGGGUUGAAAGGGUACUAAGGUGGGUAAGGAAGUCCGUUGGGAAAUCUCGUAGCUUAACGCAGAAACUGCCGUGUAUACGAUUUAUCUUGAAUACUGGGGAGGUGAGCGGAAUAUGUCAUGUAGCUGUGAAAUGCUUAGAUAUGACAUAGAACACCAAUUGCGAAGGCAGCUCGCUACACAGUGAUUUACGCUGAGGCACGAAAGCGGGGGGAUCAAACAGGAUUAGAUACCCCAGUAGUC
rnacentral:rRNA from 1 species